GAAAGCUCAAAAUUAGUUACAUGAAAACAUCUUUCUUCUAAACGAUUUGCUGCUGCUUCCCUGGUUCUAUUCACCGGACAUCAUCCAAGCAUCACGCCGGGUGUUGGGCUCCCGAGAUCAGGCACUGACCCGACUGGCAUGUGGUUAGGCCGCAGAUUCCUCAAGGCCCAGCUCCAGGGUCUCUCACCAGUGCCCCCGCAUCACCUGCUCCCAGUUACUUCUCACCGUUUCUGCUAUUACCAGCUCAGUUCAAACCACUAUCACCUCUUCCUGUAUCUUUUUCUCCAAGUUUAUUUUCCGUGUAGCAGGCAGAGUUACCAUGAACCUCUUCUUCUCGGAUCCUCCCGGUGGUCUUGGACCAGAAUCUAAGCUCUGGCCAUGACCCUAAGGCCCUGAGUGAUCUAGUCCAUGUCCACCUCUGGCCUGGUCUGGUUCUUUUUUUUUUUUUUUUCCUUUUUUCUUUUAACGGCUGCAAGCGGCAUAUGGAAGUUCCCAGGCUAGUGGUUGAAUCUACAGCCUAUGCCACAGCCACAGCAACCAACGCUGGAUCCGAGCUGUGUCUGCGACCUACACCACAGCUCACAGCAACACGAGAUCCUUAACCCAGUGAGCGUGGCCAGGGAUCAAACCCACCUCCUUAUGAAUACUAGUCAGGCUUGUUACCACUGAGCCACAGUGGGGACUCCUUGGUCUGAUGCUUGUUCACUCUGCCCAGCUAUGGCGAUCUUUGUUUCUUUCAUUCACCAAGUUCGUUCAGAGAAGCUUGUUCACGACCUUGUACUUGGUGUGCCUUGACAGCUGUUAGCCCAUUUAACUCCUAGCCAUUUUUGGCAUCAUUCAGAUCUUUGCCUAAAUAUUAUCUCCAUCGAGACGCUUUCUCUGACAACCCUUUCAAAGCUAGCCUACCUUUUCUAGAAGUGAUGUGACUUCCUGCACUGGUACACAAGUGCUGCAGGGGCUGGGGCCUUCCCGUGUUUGCUGUGGUUGUAUCCCACCACCUGUAACCAUGCCUGACAUGUAGCUGCUGUUCCAUAUUUGUUGAAUGAAUGGACAAAUGUGAUAUCCUAGGACCAGUGGGAAAUUCAGGGUGGCCGGAGGAUUGGGGGGGGGGCGCACUGGGAAGGUAGUUAGGGGCCCGUCCGUGGAAACCCUUAAAAUUCCUACUCAGGAGCUGGCCAUCACCCCCUAUCAGAGGACUGUUCCAACAGACGCUGAGCCUCAAUCCCUUGUCUGUGUGAACAGGUCUAGGAGUGGAGCCCUUCACGGGUGCGAUGUGGGUGCUGAAGUCUGGGCAUGUUUAGAAAAUGAGAGAACGUGGUUGAACGAAAACACAAACCCCACAUUCGUCACUGUUAAUCAUAAUUAAUGAUAUCUGUGAUUUGUCUCAUCUUUCUUCUAGAAUGUUCUGAGUCUCGAGACAGGAUCCCUUUGCCCCCAUCUCCAGGCCCUGCCACAGAAACCGCCUGGCGUGUGACUCAGCAGCCGCCUCUGCCGUGUGCUCCCCUCCUUAUGUCACCCAUCCUACCCGUUCCUUUCCAGCUCCAGUCAUUUCUGCCGUGUUUCUUUCUCCUCUUCUGUCCCUUCUCAAACCCCCACAGCUUUCACUGCCCCCUUUAGAACCUGCUGGUCUCGGCUCCAGCCUUUUUCUAGGGAAGUGGAGCGGACCUGAGACAAGUGGGGUGGGAGAUGUGUCCUGUAAUUCACCUCCCUGACGAGGUGGCGUUUUCCUCCGGCCGCAACUCCUUUUCCAGCUUUGCAGUCUCCCCCGCAACCGGGAGAUGGGUGCCUGAGCGCAGAGGCGGCGGCUGGUGCUCCCCAGUCUCUAGCCGUCUCAGUGCCCAUUUGAGGUGAGUGUCCCACCCAUGGCAUGAGACUCGUCCAAGUGCUUAAAUAGUAGAAUGAAGGUAUGGCUUUCUGCUGUGCUUCUCAUGAUGACACUUAUACUUGGGGAGAAGUUAGUAUUUAUUGAGUGCCUCCUGUAUGCCAGGCGCUGUGUGAGAUGCUUUAUGUCUAUGAUGUCACUUAAGACUCAUAUUUGAUGAGGUUGAUAUCUUAUCCCCAUGAGAGAACUGAAGUUCAAAGAAAUUAUUUGCCCGUGGUCACAGCGUCCACAUCUGUCCAAAGCCAGAAGCCGUGUGUCUCUGCAUGACAGCGCACAGCCAGCCCCAGCCCUGCCUCCACACUCCAAAGUCACCAAGGGUUCUCGCUGACAUAAUGUUGCUUCAGUCUCAUGACAACCUCUGAGACUAGCAGUGUCAUCCCCAGUGACUUAAAAUGCACUACCGCGGGGACUUCCUCCAGCUCUGCUGCUCUGCCAUUUGGACCCUGGGGCUUGGGCCUGUGCUUGUCAUUGGGCUGGACGCAGGAUUGGAGUCCAGCUCUAGCGUUAGAUCAUUGAGAGCAGUGCUGGAGGGGCCAGACCACAAUCCCUGUGACCUCCAUGAGAGCAGGCAUGCGGGUGCUCGUUCUCUUAGGGAGGCCGGGGAGAGCUGCUGUCCCUUUCCUGCUGGUGAGAGUGGAGGCACUGGCACGCGAGAAGUUGGGCAGAGCAGCAGUGAGGGCGCGGGCAUGAGCAAGGCCUGGUGAGAGGAGACCCAGCCCGAGGGCUGCCGCUCGGGUGUUGUGGGGCCUUGGGCAAACCACUGCACCAGUCUGAGCGACGAUGCCCCAGCUUUUAUUGCGCACUCAAGGACAAGCCUGACCACAAUGGGAAGGCCACCUUCUCCCAGGGAGAGGCUUGGUUGACCUGACCACUGCCAGCUGCUUAGGGGUAACUAUCCCAGAACAAGCCUGAGGACACUUGAGAAGAACCUGGAGAGUCACUCGUUUUCCCUGCCGCCGAGGGAAACGUUAGGCAAGCUGCUGUCCUCUCUGGGCUCAGGCUUCUCAUCGAUAAAGCAGGGAUGCUAGUAUCCCCCGUGAUUAAGGAGAAAGUGUUUAGUCAGCUAUUCGCUCGAUCAUGUCACCAAAGGGUUCUGACAGAAAAAAGCUUCUAGACGAAAUUAGAAUAAGCUUCACACCAAAGGACCUGGAAAGGCUUCUUGGAGGACUGGGGCAUGAGCCCUGUCGUGAAGGCUCGCUGGCGGUCAGCAGGGAAGGAUGCAGGCUUUUGGCGGAUGGCUGGGCCAGAGGACCAGAGAGCAUCCCAGUGCGGGGAGGGCUCCUGCUCGCUCUCUCCUUCCCAUCUGCCUCCAUCAGCACCUCCCACACUCACAGCUCCUGCCCUCAAUUCUCCAUUCUAAGGCCGUUACUGGAGUUCUCUGGUGGUGCGGGGGUUAAGGAUCCAGAGUCGUCACUGCAGUGGCUUGGUCGUUGCUGUGGUGUGGGUUCAAUCCUUGGCCUGGGUGACAUCCACAUGCUAUGGGUGUGGCAAAAAAAAAAGACACACUUUUAAUGAAAUGGCAGCUUUGGGGAGAAUAAGAAAAUAUUUCAUACACUGGUUUUAAGUUGCAUCUCCGUUUCAAAACCCUGGUGCUGUGGGGAGAAAGUGUAUAGAGUUGAGAAAAUACAGAAAAUGUCACUUCAGAAAGAGUACUACCAAAAAAAAAUUCGUCAUGUGGACCUGGAGACUGAUGUUCUUGUUUGGCCCCAUACCAGCUUUGUUAUUCUGGGCAAGUUUCUUGAUUUCCCUAAGCAUCAAUUCCUUUUUUGGGGGGGGGGGUCCUUUUUGUCUUUUUAGUGCCGUUCCCGCGGCAGGCAUAUGGAGGUUCCCAGGCUAGGGGUCUAAUCGGAGAUGUAGCCAUCGGCCUAUGUCAGAGCCACAGUGGCACAGGAUCCGAGCCAUGUCUGCGACCUACACCACAGCUCAUGGCAAGGGCAACGCCGGAUCCUUAACCCACUGAGCAAGGCCAGGGAUCGAACCCGCAGCCUCAUGGUUCCUAGUCGGAUUCCCUAACCACUGAGCCGUGACGGGAACUCCCAAUUCAUUUUUAAAAUGGUCUAUAAAUUGCCCGGGCAUAGGAGGUGAGAAGUUAAGGUUGUUUGAGUUUGUAUUUUGAUUCAUUUUAGAAAGGGGUCAAUAGAACCUAUUUUUUGUAAAGUUGGAGUUUGCUAUAUUUUUUAAAAAACUAUAUGUAUAUAUAGAGUCAUUUUAGGAUAGCAAAACACAGAACAGUGGAUCUCAAUCAGGGACACUUUCACACCCCAGGUGACAUUUGGCCGUGUUGGGAGGCAUUUGGGUUGUCACAGCAGGGGGCAGGGAGGGGGACAGGAAGCUAGUGGCAUCUGGUGUGUAGAGUCUAAGGAUGCUGCCAAACAUCCUACAUUGUGCAGGACUGGCCCCCAAAACAAAGGAUUUUCUGGCCCCAAAUAUCCAUGGCAUGAGGCUAAGAAACCCUGGCAUAGAGAUUAAGGAUGUGGAUUGUGGAGCCCAGUUCUCUGGAAUUAACCCUAGUUCCGCUGCCUGCUACCUGUCUAUCCUUGGGCCCCUUCCUUGACCUCUCAUCUGAGAGGAAUAGUACGUUUCUGCCAAAGGGCGUGUGUGUGAGGAUCACUAAGACCUAAGGUUCGCAGAGCAUCGCGAAUAGAGACUGGCUUCCAUGGGCUCCCAGUGAGUGUCCACUCUUGUUUUAAAAACUUUUGAAUAAGCACCAGACUUUGAAUAAGCACAAUACCUGGUGGCCGAGACCAGGACCUCAGGUAAGUUACUUAACUCCUUGUGCCUCAGUGUCUUCAUUUGCUAAAAAAAUAUUGUGGCGGACAGAUGAGAUGAAGGGUAAGACAGCAUGAUGGAAGCCGUGGAACAUCUGGCAGCAAAUCCACUGGUAUCAUUAUUAUUGUCUCAGACUCCAGUAAGAGAAUGUUCUGGGGGUGAAGCAAUAAACUCUCCUGGGCCAGGCUGUAACUCAGCAGAAGGGACAGCAGAGAGAGGAGGUGCUCAGAGCAGGCCCAGGACGGCGCCUUAAGUGCAUCCUCAGCUGUGAGUCCAGGAAGUCGCCGUUAUUGCCUGGUUAUGUGCAAGCUGCGUCCUGGCUUCACAUACCACUUUCCCCGGAGGCGCUCUUGGCGACCCAGCAGACACGCCUGCUCUGCAGGCUCCUAGCUCUGGGAAAAACAACAGCUCAGAUGGAAAGAGUGCCCCGAAAGCCCCUGGCCAGGGAUCUGCUCCUCCUCUGUCUUCUCUGGCAGCAGUUCUCUGAGCUCUCGGAUGACAAAACUGGAUUCCUGGCCCGGACUCCAAGGCGCUCUGGCUGCAGCCACACAGGAUUGAGUGAGGGUUAUUAUUAUCUUCAACAAUUAUUGGCAAACAGUAAUCUAGCAGGGACGGUGUCAAGCUAGUCACAUAAAUAAACUCAUAAUUCUCAGAACAACCUUGUGAAACUGAGUAUUAUGACCUUAUUGCUGAUGCUGUCACUGAGGCUCAGAGCCAUUAAACAACUUGCCCAGAAUGCGCAGAGCCAGAUGCACAUUGCUCUCAACCAACACCCGCAGCAUCGCAAGCCAGAAUGUGCACAGAGCCUAGCGAACACUAGGCACUUAAUGUUUGUUCACUGUGUUUAAUGAAUCAGUGUCAAAGGGCGAAUCUCGAACCAGCGUGCCCCUCAUCCAGCUCUGCCCAUCCUGCCGCUCACCGCCCCCUGCCCUGUCCCUGCUGGGCUCCCAGUGCCUGCUCACUCUCGCCUAGGGGCUCAGUGCCCUCUCGGCAGCAAGUAAAACUGUUCUUUCAGGGGCCUUCAAGUGACAGUUGCAGAGACUAGCCCGCUGCUCCAUCUGGUGAUACUGCUCUGUGCCAAGCACUUGGGGGGGAGCUUGGGGACACAGUGCUGAGUCAUCCCCAGCACCUGACUGAGGGGAGUCCACAUCUGUGCGAGGGGGAGGGGGCGAGAGGGGAGACGGACGAGGAAACCAGCUGGCCACCAGCAGCGUGAUCCAAGCAGCCCUUCAAGGGAAAGGCGCAGGGACGUCUUCCCGAGGCUGAAGCUGCUUUUGAAAUUCACAUACCUGUACUUGGCAUAGACUGGGCCACAGCUGCUUUCUUCCAUCCGUCCCAAUUUACCUCUCAUUCUGUCCUGACACCACACAAUGGAAAACUAAGAAACAGUCUCUCUAGCAGCUCAGAAUCCACACUGGGAAAAAGGGAUCGAGAAACUGCUGUUAAGAACCUACUGUGUGGAAUUCCCGUUGUGGUGCAGUGGAAACGAAUCCGACUAGGAACCAUAAGGUCGCAGGUUCAAUCCCUGGCCUCGCUCAGUGGGUUAAGGACCCAGUGUUGCCAUGAGCUGUGGUGUAGAUUGCAGCAUGGCUUGGAUAUGGCACUGCUGUGGCUGUGGUGUAGGCCACUGGCUACAGCUCUGAUAAGACCCCUAGCUGGCAACCUCCAUAUGCGUGGGUACGGCCCUAAAAAGA
rnacentral:lncRNA from 1 species